rnacentral:lncRNA from 1 species
GAGCUGAUGAUAACACUGGAGAUGAUAUGCUUGGAGCUGCUAAAACUACGCUCUCCACUGAUGUCACCAAGGAUGGCGCUGGUGAGCGUAAUAGUGUUGAAGUCCAAGCUGACAGUGCAGACCUUCACGAGGAGAGCAUAGUUUUAGCAGCUCUACAGCCAGACGACUUACAUAGAAGUCGUCUAGACGAACAAAUCUGGAAAAAAAAUAUUGAUUUCAUAGUUUCAACUAGUGAAAUAACUUGUUUAACAAAUAUAAGUCUUCUCCAAACAACCAGAAUCUCAAACAAAAGUGACUCACCAAGAAUCGUAAGUUUCCAUGGCUCUAUGACCCAUACAAAUUUUAGAAUCAAAGUUUUGGGUUUUUUGAGAUGAAUAUGGAGAGAAAGUGAAAGAGAGAUGUUGUUUUUAGUUCAUAAGAAUUGAGAAAGAAGAAGUGUAAAUUGAUUUGAGGUGCAUUAAGAGCUUCAAAUUAUUUGUUCAUGGUGGUUGGUGUAUUGAUGGCCAUGACAAUCUUGUAAAUAUUUGAAGAUGGUGAGGUUGAGAGAGUAAAAAUGUCAUUUUCGAAAAAAAACUAAUGACAUUUUCGUAAAUAAUGUGAAUUUAUGGGGUGAAUAAGACAAAAAAAAAAUCCAAAAAACAUAUGUUAGUUUUAAGUCUGACUUCAUGUUUUGAGUCAAUUUUGCAAAUAACCCAAUAAACCCUUGAUUGUAUAGAUUGUAGACGAGUGUCUGAUUUAAAAUUAAUUGGUAAUAAAUAUAUAAAUUUAUGAGGAUGGUUGGAGAAAGCUGUUAGUAUUAUAGACAACUUUAAUUCUCUCCACAUCACUAAAUUAAAAGCAGUCAAGCUUUGGUUAAUUUUUUAAAUUUCACAGUUUUUGUGGCUGUGGAGAGCUAAUUUUUAGAGUAUUCUUUCAACUGCUUUGAAAAAUGUUUUUUCUCCUUUUUGUAAAACAUAUAUGCUUCAUUUCUUCUAUAGUAAUACGUUUCACUAACAUACAUAUAAUACUAUAUUUCUUACAUAUAUAAUCCACAAAAAUGUUACAAAUAUUAUUAAAAUAUGUAUGCAAUUGCACUCAUAAUCUUUUGACAGUACUAAUGCUUUGUCAAUCUAAAACAUAACAUGGCAUAAACAGGCAGAGCCAUGGCUAUAGACUUGAGGAGAACCUCCUUACCACCUAGUGACAGUUUCUUAGCAGCUCACGAUCAACUCAAAACAAAUAAUUACAAACCUCACGAUAAUGCUGGAGAAAAUGUUCAUGUUGCCAUGGCCGUCAGUUCCACCAUUUACAACAAAUCCUUGAGGUGAAUUAUGUCCACUGUUAUAGUUGUUAUACUCUUUGCUCAAUGUUUUCGAAUUUCUUAUUUGAGUAAUUGUACAAUACAAGGUAAAUAAGGUGAAGGUGGUGGUUGAGAUUGUGGUCUGUAUACAGCUCUACUGUACUAGGUUACAAGUUUUUUGGACAUGUUUUUUGUUUUGUUUUCGUGAUCAGUUUUGUCUAGGUUCUUUACCUUUCCUUAUCAUGUUGACUUAUUUCAUACAUUUAACUAAAAUGUUAUCUCAUCCAUUGUUACAAUAGACUGUGGAGUUCCUCUGCACUGGAGAAUUUGUCAGUACUGAAACUACUACAUCUCCUGCUCAAAAUGCUAUUGAAAGCUUCAGCAUGGAUCCUCAUCAUUCACAUGUGCAUACUGCCAUAACGACAACACAGUUGGAGUUCUCAGGUUAUUCUUCCAUAGCUCAAGUUUAGCUAAACCUAAUGUCCCAAUUUGAGGAUACACUCACCACUUCUGUACAUUGUUCACGCUGAACUUUUGCAGGUACUGUGUCCAUUUCUAUGGGUCAGAUAGGACAAAUUUCGCUGGGUUUGUGGCAUUUGAUGGAGAGAUGACUAAGCUAAACAACUUACGUGCAGCAGAAGUUGCUCAAUUAAUGGUAACACCACCGAGAACUAUAUACAAUUAAUGGUUUAUAUCUUUCAAAAACACCAAUACAACAUACCUCACCAGCAUUUUUACACAGGAUCCAGGUUUGGAGAACCCCGACCAAAGACCCCUCCCACAAUGCUUAAAGGAUUUGGUUGGCACCACUAUAACUUCACAUUUAAAGCUGUCCCCAUUCAACUUUUCCUCAAAGCAGCAGUCCUUCACAAUAUCAAGGAUCAUUGAUCGCAAUCAACGUUCACCACUCCCAAAAUUUGCUGGAAACGUAAGUUUAAGAAGUAGCUAAACAUGUUUUAAACUUUUCUUAUUAUGACUACAGCUAUUGAUAGGGUUCAUGGGCAGGGAGCUGAUGAUAACACUGGAGAUGAUAUGCUUGGAGCUGCUAAAACUACGCUCUCCACUGAUGUCACCAAGGAUGGCGCUGGUGAGCGUAAUAGUGUUGAAGUCCAAGCUGACAGUGCAGACCUUCACGAGGAGAGCAUAGUUUUAGCAGCUCUACAGCCAGACGACUUACAUAGAAGUCGUCUAGACGAACAAAUCUGGAAAAAAAAUAUUGAUUUCAUAGUUUCAACUAGUGAAAUAA